UACAGAGGUCUCAAGCGUUGUUCGGAUUCAUUGGGCGUAAAGGGUGCGUAGGCGGCGCGGUAAGUCGGGUGUGAAAUCUCGGAGCUUAACUCCGAAACUGCAUUCGACACUGCCGUGCUUGAGGACUGGAGAGGAGACUGGAAUUUACGGUGUAGCGGUGAAAUGCGUAGAUAUCGUAAGGAAGACCAGUGGCGAAGGCGGGUCUCUGGACAGUUCCUGACGCUGAGGCACGAAGGCCAGGGGAGCAAACGGG
rnacentral:rRNA from 1 species